CAAGUCGAACGCGAAAGUGGAGCAAUCCAUGAGUAGAGUGGCAAACGGGUGAGUAACACGUUGGGUGACCUGCCUUCGAGCGGGGGAUAACGUCCCGAAAGGGACGCUAAUACCGCAUAACAUCCUGCCUUUUAAGAGGUGGAGAUCAAAGCCGGGGAUCGCAAGACCUGGCACUUGAAGAGGGGCCCGCGCCUGAUUAGCUAGUUGGUGGGGUAAUGGCUCACCAAGGCAACGAUCAGUAUCCGGCCUGAGAGGGCGGACGGACACACUGGGACUGAGACACGGCCCAGACUCCUACGGGAGGCAGCAGUGGGGAAUUGUUCGCAAUGGGCGCAAGCCUGACGACGCAACGCCGCGUGGAGGAUGAAGACCUUCGGGUCGUAAACUCCUUUCGAUCGAGACGAAUGGUCUCUGGGUGAACAAUCCGGAGAAGUGACGGUACCGAGAGAAGAAGCCCCGGCUAACUCCGUGCCAGCAGCCGCNGUAAUACGGGGGGGGCAAGCGUUGUUCGGAAUUACUGGGCGUAAAGGGCUCGUAGGUGGCCAACUAAGUCAGACGUGAAAUCCCUCAGCUUAACUGGGGAACUGCGUCUGAUACUGGAUGGCUUGAGUUUGGGAGAGGGAUGCGGAAUUCCAGGUGUAGCGGUGAAAUGCGUAAAUAUCUGGAGGAACACCGGUGGGCGAAGGCGGCAUCCUGGACCAACACUGACACUGAGGAGCGAAAGCCAGGGGAGCAAACGGGAUUAGAUACCCCGGUAGUCCUGGCCU
rnacentral:rRNA from 1 species